GUGGCCGCCGAGGGUCGCGGCGCCCAGGCUGCCGGAGCCGCCGCCGUCUGGGCUCGGAUCCGGGAAGCUGCGGCGCUGCCGCGGCAGCGGCGGGCCCCUCAUUUGCAUGCGAUUAGCAUGCGCCCGCCCGCCUCAUCUGCAUGCGCAUUCCUCGCGCCGCAUUCCUGAGCUUAACCCCGCCGCUGCCAGCGUCGCCGCACCAGCUCGGACGCACUGCCCCAGCGGGGCCGCGGCUCCAGGUGGGAGGAAGGCGGGCGAAGGAAUGUGCGGCCAGCUCCCUCCCCUUGACCCCAGAUAGCUCCCCUGGGCCAAACGCCGAGAGGUUUUAGAGUUUCUGGACGGGGAAGAUUGCAAAAGUCUCCGCAACCUUCUCAACCUCUUUCGUCUUCUAGGGAAACCACAAAACUUUCGAGAGGAAAGGGGUGGCGGGCGGGGAGCUCUCCUCCGGAGAAAAAACCUCAACAAGCGGAGAGGGCACAAAGGCUCCCCACGCCGCGCCCCGAGCCCCUCCGGCACCCCAAGGGCGGUCCGGGGUGGUGGGAAAGCGCCAAGCCCUGGGAGUGCGUCGGUGGGUCCGGGACGGCGGGGCCUCCGCAGGGCUCCUGGCCCUCGAUGACCUCGGCUGAGACCGCGAGCCGCGCGGCGGAAAGCGGAGGAACUCCCGUCCGGCCCUGUAGCCGCCCGCACCGCGCCCCAAGUCACCCGCCGCCCCUUCGCGUCCGGGCGCUCCAGCCGCGGGGCCCCGGAAGCUCCUGGUCCCUGGCCUCCCCUGCUGGGUUCGGGGCGGUUGGCCGUGGACGCGCCCCGACUCUAGUCCCUUCCGUCCAGCCGCCCGCCCCAGGAUGUCCCCCCACCGCAGCCCCGCCGUGGCCAGGAGGUGUGGGCGGCCACGCCGGAGGGACCCACGGCGGCGCCGGACGCCCGCCCUUCCUAGGCCCUGGCCCGGCCGGGGUGGGCCGGGACGUUCCCUGUUGCAUAGGCAUUUAUUUAUUCAGCAGCUACUACGUGCUGGCCCGCACUGCCGAGGGACCGGACGCCUGCCCCAGGCGGGACAAUGCCGGGUGCAGCGCUGGCGGGGCCUGGACCCCAAGCUUCAGGGUCCCCAGCCCCUCAGUCAGAGGGGGCGCCUCCCAGGCCCUGGACUCCUCUCCAGCCGGGUCUACACCACCGUCCCCCGUCAUCUUCUUCUGGGUUACUGAGCAGCUUCUUUUAAAAUAGCAACACCGGGGAAGGCCCCGAAGCCCAGUCUUGCACCUCGUGGUGUGAAGUCGUUUAAUCCUGCCCGCUAAUGCGUAAGGACUUUCCCCCGUGUGCAGGACUCCGCGCUGGGCAGGGGCUCUCGCAGGGUUUGAACCGACCUCCGCCUCCCCUGCGGGUUCACAGGCCUGCGAGGAAGUCGCGUGAAGGAGAUUCGCUACUGUGUGAGGCUGGCCUGCGCGGCGUGGGCAGUAGCUGUCCGGGGCUGGGGACAGCUUUUGGCUCCCCAGGCCAUCCCGUCGGGGCAUCUGCGGCCAAUCUCGAAGGUGGAGAGGCUCAGGGUUGGAACAGACUUCACGGAAGGGGUCCUAGAAGAGGAAAGGGGUCGUGUUUGCCCUUAGAGCAGUCUGGGCGUGAAGCGGAAACUUUAAACCACCAGAAACUCUGGAGAGCUUGGAGCACCUGGGAAGGAGCAACCAGAGUGGGCCGGAGGUAGGGAAGGAAGGCACCCACGGCGAAUUUGACCGCAUUUAGGGCGGCCGCUUGUGCAGCCAGCCUUCUGGAAGGUAGGCUUUGCGCUUCGUGAAGAGAAGCCCCCACCUCCGGAUCUGUGUUCCGCCCCAGUCCAUUCAUCAGGAGGUGAUACACAAGUCAAGCUUCUCUAGUUCCCGGUGGAAUGAGACGCCCUGGUGGGGUCUUAAGGUUGAACGUUUGAAUACUGUAAAAAAGAUGGGACCUGCCUACAAUUAAUCUCUCACACUACUGAGCGAAUGUGCGUUGUUUUGGACUUCCCUAAAUUGGCCCAAAUGCAUAGCCAACACUUGAAUUGCGGUGUACUAACAUCAUUCAGCACCAAACCAAACCAUUCUUAUUUAAACCUUGCUUCCUAGCUUAUUUAUUUCCCAAACAACUUGAAAACAUUUGUUAUACUAAAAUGUCUACAUCUUACUAUUAAAAAAAAAACAAAG
rnacentral:lncRNA from 1 species